AGUGAACGCUGGCGGUAGGCCUAACACAUGCAAGUCGAACGGCAGCACCGUAAGAGCUUGCUCUUACGGGUGGCGAGUGGCGGACGGGUGAGGAAUACAUCGGAAUCUACUUUUUCGUGGGGGAUAACGUAGGGAAACUUACGCUAAUACCGCAUACGACCUACGGGUGAAAGCAUGGGAUCUUCGGACCUUGCGCGAUUGAAUGAGCCGAUGUCGGAUUAGCUAGUUGGCGGGGUAAAGGCCCACCAAGGCGACGAUCCGUAGCUGGUCUGAGAGGAUGAUCAGCCACACUGGAACUGAGACACGGUCCAGACUCCUACGGGAGGCAGCAGUGGGGAAUAUUGGACAAUGGGCGCAAGCCUGAUCCAGCCAUACCGCGUGGGUGAAGAAGGCCUUCGGGUUGUAAAGCCCUUUUGUUGGGAAAGAAAAGCAGCAGGUUAAUACCCCGCUGUUCUGACGGUACCCAAAGAAUAAGCACCGGCUAACUUCGUG
rnacentral:rRNA from 1 species